rnacentral:rRNA from 1 species
GACGAACGCUGGCGGCGUGCCUAACACAUGCAAGUCGAGCGAAGUGCUUUAAGCGGAAUCUUCGGAGGAAGCUUAAAGUAUCUUAGCGGCGGACGGGUGAGUAAUGCGUGAGGAACCUGCCUUUCACAAGGGGGAUAGCCUCGGGAAACUGGGAUUAAUACCCUAUGACACCUAAGUAUCGCAUGAUACUUAGGUUAAAGCGCAAAGCGGUGGAAGAUGGCCUCACGUCCCAUUAGCUAGUUGGUGAGGUAAAGGCUCACCAAGGCAACGAUGGGUAGCCGGCCUGAGAGGGUGACCGGCCACACUGGAACUGAGACACGGUCCAGACUCCUACGGGAGGCAGCAGUGGGGAAUAUUGCACAAUGGGCGAAAGCCUGAUGCAGCGACGCCGCGUGAGCGAAGAAGGCCUUCGGGUCGUAAAGCUCUGUCCUAUGGGACGAUAAUGACGGUACCAUAGGAGGAAGCCCCGGCUAACUACGUGCCAGCAGCCGCGGUAAG